UUCAUGAUAACACACCAUCACUUACUUCAAAACCAGUUGAAGACACAUUAAAAGAUCUUGCCUUGAAAAUAUUAACCCACCCGUUGAAUUCACCAGACCUUGCUCCUUCAAAUUUCCACUUGUUCUGAUUGAAGAAACACACAGACUUUCUG